rnacentral:rRNA from 1 species
GGCUGUCCGAGUUGUAGUCUGGAGAAGUGCUUUCUGCGCUGGACCGUGUACAAGUCUCUUGGAACAGAGCGUCAUAGAGGGUGAGAAUCCCGUCUUUGACACGGACUACCAGUGCUUUGUGAUGCGCUCUCAAGGAGUCGAGUUGUUUGGGAAUGCAGCUCAAAAUGGGUGGUGAAUUCCAUCUAAAGCUAAAUAUUGGCGAGAGACCGAUAGCGAACAAGUACCGUGAGGGAAAGAUGAAAAGCACUUUGGAAAGAGAGUUAAACAGUACGUGAAAUUGCUGAAAGGGAAACGCUUGAAGUCAGUCGCGUUGUUUGGAACUCAGCCUUGCUUCGGCUUGGUGCACUUUCCAAGCAACGGGCCAGCAUCGAUUUUGACCGUCGGAAAAGGGCUGAAGGAAUGUGGCACCUCCGGGUGUGUUAUAGCCUUCAGUCGCAUACGGCGGUUGGGAUCGAGGAACACAGCGCGCCUUAUGGCUGGGGUUCGCCCACAUUCGCGCUUAGGAUGCUGGCAUAAUGGCUUUAAACGACCCGUCUUGAAACACGGACCAAGGAGUCUAACAUGCCUGCGAGUGUUUGGGUGGAAAACCCGAGCGCGUAAUGAAAGUGAAAGUUGAGACCUCUGUCGUGGAGGGCAUCGACGCCCGGACCUGACGUUCUCUGAAGGAUCCGCGGUAGAGCAUGUAUGUUGGGACCCGAAAGAUGGUGAACUAUGCCUGAAUAGGGUGAAGCCAGAGGAAACUCUGGUGGAGGCUCGUAGCGAUUCUGACGUGCAAAUCGAUCGUCAAAUUUGGGUAUAGGGGCGAAAGACUAAUC